CAGCUCGGCUAGGGUGCGGGCGUUUGGGCUCCGUCCUUAGGCUGGGGCUGCAGCAGCAUCACCUCCCUGCAAAGCAGCACGCCAAAUCCCAACCCGGCCUCACAGCAGCUCUCUUCUCUAUCCCCAGCUGCCAUUGUUUGCCAGUGUCUUGUCUGACAAAUGUCUGACAGCCUUUCUGUAUUGAAGAAGGAAUAAAAGGAAGAGGUUACAGCUGACAGUGUUCCACUGACAAGCAAUACUGACUAAAGCCAAAAGAUAGGAUCAACAGUACAGAUCCUACCAAUGCACAGUUACACAGGACUUUAACUUGAUUUUCGUCUGGAACUCAGUCCUCUUUAUACACUAUCAUAUUUUGUUGGAAUCAAAACUAACAUGCUGUUCUUCAAGGCUUUUCACAUUUGCCAUGGGCCUACAAAAAGACCUGCAAAGCCUUACCGCUACUUUUACUCAUUCAUGACAAAGAAUCAGACUGCUGGUCAAGAGACGCUCUGCUGAACAACCUAAGCAACAGGGAAUUUGAGAACUAGCGCUUGAGAUUUCACCAGAUCUCCCCAAAUGGAAUAUGAUUAGGAAUGAUCUUGUGUUUAUACCUCCAAAGAGAUUAUUGUCAUGAAAUAAAAAAUGGUUUAUUUAUUUUAACAGAACGGUUUGUAAGACAAAUUUAUUAAACAACAACAAAGAAUCUGAAUGAACAAUGAAAGAAGUUUGUGAUCUCUAAUAGAAGCAGAGGCUGAAUUCAGCCUUUAAAAACUACGAACAGUAUUUAGUCCUAAAGGAUAGAGAAGAAAAUGGCUUCCAGAAGUCAAUGUUAAAGAAGCCUCCGAUACACCAGUUGCAAUCUCUGUCAUAGAAUGGAAACAAUUAUGCAACAGUAGAGUUCCUGUUUGGUGUUAUUCAUAAUUUUCUGAAACUCUUUUUGAGCCAAACUGUUCCAGGUUUGGUUGCUCUCUGAAGGUGAAUAGUGCUGGAAAGUUUGGUCAAAGUAGUUUGACAUACAGUAGCUCAAAUAGAAGAAGUGGAGAAAAGUCUAAUUUUCUAUGGAAACCUUUGACUGAUCUUAAAAAGUCUAUAGGCUCCUUGCUUUAUCUUUUGCACCAGACAAAACCUAUGAGAACUGGUCCAGGAGAAUGUUUAGAAUAUGCUUUACGAUAGGAAACUCAUCAUUAUGAAAGAGCAUUGGAUACUAUAGCUUUUAAAAGUGUUAUUGAUUAAGAAUGAUUAAAAACAUCUACUCAGUUGACUGUGAUGUUUCCCUAUCAACUUUCUUGAAACAUUUUUCAAUCUGGGGUGCAGCUACAAUGUAUCGUCAUUUAUUUCUUACUAGUCUCAAGGACCAGAUCUGGAAUAAUGAAAGUUGUAUCAGCACAGUGUUUCCUUUUGCAUAUAUCCAUUUUCAUAUUUUGCAAUGAGGCAGAACAUGGCAAGUAUAUUAAAAUAAGAAAUGUAACCUCCUAUGAAAUAAUGGAGCUGUAACAGGGAUUAAUAUGGCUCCACAAUGAAGACUGUUGCUUUUUAAUCAUGAUACCCAUAUGAUACGCUUUGCAGUUUGUUUCGAAGUCAGGAUGUUCUGGGAUUGAAGCCAAACCAGAGACUUAAGUCUAAAAUAAAUUUUCUGUACCAGGGAAAAGCAGCUUUACUCAUGAAAACAAUAUAGGAUUUUAAUAAUAACACAAAGAACUUUAAUCAGAUGUACAUUAAGAAACAAUAUUAAAAAAGCACAAAUCAAUUGCUACAUGUUGGCAGAUGUCCAUAUCCACCUUAACUGCAAGAUUCACAAGCUUAGCAAGAAAAUACUGAAGGUAAAAUUCAUAGUUUUCUUAAUUAAACAAAUACAACACAUUUUAUGUCACUAUACAACAGCCUGUUUCUGACUUAGCAGUGAUUUGUAUUUUAUGCCCAUAUCUGCUUCCUCAGUGCUUUUAAAGUGAGAAAUCAGUUGAUAUAUUUAUUACAAUAAGUUAAUUUAUAUGAACUUAUACACAUAUCACAUAACAUACAAUGCACUAUUUAUAAAAUGCAAUUAGUAUGUAAGAUAUAUGCAUGCCAAUGUAUAUUAACUAUACAAAUGUGUAUAUUCCAUUUAUGAAUUAUAGCUUAAAAUCAUAAAAUAUAGAUUUUAUAACUCUAUUGUGCUGAUUUAUAGCAAAAUAUGUACGUAUGGCAAUUUUUAUUUGGGAUGACUUAAAAACAUAUCUACACAUGAAUGAUCCCCUGUCUCUUUCUCAGAUGAGUUGAAUUUGUACUAUGCCAUUUUAGAUUAUUGUUGAAAAUACAGUGGUUUUUUUUUAUGAGAAUUGAAACUGUUGGGAUAAAUGGUUAAUGCUGCGCACCAGUUAGAUGUGUGACUGUCUUAGCUAGUCAUUUCAUGACUUCAUUACUUCUAUUUUUUAAAUUUUGUAAUUAAAUGCCUUUAUAUUUAACUCUUUUUAA